CAUCGUGCAUAUUAUUCUUGAGGGUGAGGGACCAGUCAAGGGGGAGGUGAGGGUCUUGAACAAGAUCCUCAUUAGGCUCCGUAUCAGUUACUGAUGAAAAAAAGGAACUCUGGGAACUGUAGUUUUGUGAAGGAACCUGGGAAACUCUUAUUCACAUCUUCACUUACAUGAAGGGGACUAAAAAAGCUUCUUUGGCUAUGGACACACUUGCAGUUAUACUGGUUUCAGUGCAUCUCCACCUCUGUGUUGUGAAUCCGGGGACACAUGACAUCAGUCAAGCUCAACCUUUUUUACUCAAGAUCUGGAAUUCUUCAGAUCGGAUGCAUUGUCCCAGCUUCACACGGACUUCAAAACUGUUUGGUCAAUCAACCCAUUGCGACUCCGAGUGCAGAUGGGACCUUACUUCAAAAUGGAAAAUGCCAGCCUUGCUGCAUUCUACUGAAUAAGACCUCCAGACUCCUGCCCCAAGGUCUUGACAGCUGGCCAUUAUCACAUGGAGGCAGACUACUGAUCUUCCCCCCACGCCCAGCAGAGAGCGCAAAGGUGAGAGAGUGUGGAGGAACAGAAUAAGUAAGCUGUUAUAAAGAGAACGAAAGCAGCCUUUUCACAGCCAAUGAUAAAUCAUAUAUUAUUUAAACAUUCCCCUCCCCCAAAUUUUGACAGCUGUAGAACAAAAUAUGUGCCUUCCAAUUCCAUCUUCUAUUCCCCAAAACAAGAACACUUUGGACCCUAUAUUGUAUUUCAUAUUCAGUGUAAAUAUACUUGCUUCAUGGCCGUUGCAGGGCUGUUUCAACUCUUUAUCACUACUUUGAAGUAUCCUCA